rnacentral:sRNA from 1 species
GCCCCACGCGCGGGCUCGCGCUUCGGUUUCCCCAGACCUGCUCGCAGCACCCUGUUCUCUUCCCGGUUCGGCCCGCUGCCCGCGGCGCCAGCACUAUGCUCUUCUAUUCUUUUUUCAAGUCCCUUGUGGGCAAGGAUGUGGUCGUGGAACUAAAGAAUGACCUGAGUAUCUCAACAUCAAACUAACUGACAUCAGUGUCACAGACCCUGAGAAAUAUCCUCACAUGUUAUCAGUGAAGAACUGCUUCAUUCGGGGCUCAGUGGUCCGAUACGUGCAGCUGCCCGCAGAUGAGGUCGACACACAGUUGCUACAGGAUGCAGCAAGGAAGGAAGCCCUGCAGCAGAAACAGUGAUGGCUCCUCCUCUUCCCCUCCCUCUUUCAUUGGUGACCCAUAACCCCAAGUCCCAGCCCAGAACCCCUAACCCCCAAUACUUGAAGGGGUUUUGUUUUUUUACUAAUGAUGGUUUUGUGGGUUGUUUUUUUUUAAGGGAUGAGUGGAUGAGAGGAAUAAUAGGGAACAGCUAUCCUCUCUUGAGAAGGGGAGGAUAAGUAGGCUGGGAAACUUCAAAGCCUUCCCAGUCCCCAGCACCUGCCUUUCUCACUACUUCCCUGGAGAUGGUAGGAGAGUUUCCUAGGUCUUUCCAGGGCAGCAUGUGAUUCAUUUGGGGAUGGAAGGAAUCUGUCCCGCAUCGGGAAUAAAAUUUAUGAUGCAAA